CAAGUCUCUUGCCACACCCCUCCCCCAUUAAUAUAUACAAGUCCUCUGCAAUCUAUACUCCAUCCAGGUGCCAGGAAACUAUUAUUUCGACCUAGACAGGCUGACCCAGCUGGUGCUGGGGGAGGAUGGGAGGACAUAUGGUAGGCUGCUACAAGAGUGUCAAUCUGCGAGAACUCCCAAGACCAAAUGUUUAAAGUCAUGAUGCAGUGGUAUACACCACCAGUGAAAUUGUAUAGAAUAGGAACAAUACCAACAGAUGAUUGCAGGAGAGGAUGUGUGUUACGGGGGACAUAUUUGCAUAUGUGGUGGGGAUGCCCACAAGUUAAUAUUGUGAGGGGGUCCAAGUGUUGCUUGGCCAAGUUUUUCUUAUACAAUUUGAUCUUGAUCACCGGGUAUACAUCCUGUCUCAACCCAUUAAGGGGAUCCUUCCCCCCCUUAAAACAAAAGCUAUAGAUUAUAAUAGUGCUAGGAGCCUAGAGCGCUAUAGCAGCUGGAUGGCUGGGUGAUAGACUCUCAACCCUACAAGAGAAAAA